rnacentral:rRNA from 1 species
CCUACGGGAGGCAGCAGUGGGGAAUAUUGCACAAUGGGGGAAACCCUGAUGCAGCGACGCCGCGUGAGUGAAGAAGUAUUUCGGUACGUAAAGCUCUAUCAGCAGGGAAGAAAAUGACGGUACCUGACUAAGAAGCCCCGGCUAACUACGUGCCAGCAGCCGCGGUAAUACGUAGGGGGCAAGCGUUAUCCGGAUUUACUGGGUGUAAAGGGAGCGUAGACGGCAGCGCAAGGCUGGAGUGAAAUCCCAUGGCUUAACCAUGGAACUGCUUUGGAAACUGUGCAGCUAGAGUGCAGGAGAGGUAAGCGGAAUGCCUAGUGUAGCGGUGAAAUGCGUAGAUAUUAGGAGGAACACCAGUGGCGAAGGCGGCUUACUGGACUGUAACUGACGUUGAGGCUCGAAAGCGUGGGGAGCAAACAGGAUUAGAUACCCGGGUAGUC